GACGAACGCUGGCGGCGUGCUUAACACAUGCAAGUCGAACGGAAAGGCCCUGCUUUUGUGGGGUGCUCGAGUGGCGAACGGGUGAGUAACACGUGAGUAACCUGCCCUUGACUUUGGGAUAACUUCAGGAAACUGGGGCUAAUACCGUAUAGGAGCUCCUGCUGCAUGUUGGGGGUUGGAAAGUUUGGGCGGUUGGGGAUGGACUCGCGGCUUAUCAGCUUGUUGGUGGGUUAGUGGCUUACCAAGGCUUUGACGGGUAGCCGGCCUGAGAGGGUGACCGGCCACAUUGGGACUGAGAUACGGCCCAGACUCCUACGGGAGGCAGCAGUGGGGAAUAUUGCACAAUGGGCGGAAGCCUGAUGCAGCAACGCCGCGUGCGGGAUGACGGCCUUCGGGUUGUAAACCGCUUUCGCCUGUGACGAAGCGUGAGUGACGGUAAUGAGUAAAGAAGCACCGGCUAACUACGUG
rnacentral:rRNA from 1 species